rnacentral:tRNA from 1 species
GCCUGGGUGGCUCAAUCAGUUAAGCAUCUGACUCUCAGUUUCAGCUCAGGUCAAGGUCUCAUGAUUUGUGGGUUCAAGCCCCACAUCAGGCU